GAAGGAAGGAAGAAAGAGAGAGAAGAAGAAUGGAGUGAUCUCACAAGUGGAUGAGUGAAGAUCAGGAAUGCGGAAGGAUACUGAGCAGGCACCGUGUAUCUCUUGGGCUGGAGAAGUUAUUUUCUGCUCUUUAACAAUAACUUCAAAGAACAAUUUCAGAUUUGAGAUUUUGGAAGACAGAAACUUGGUCUUAAAAUGUAUUGACUUUUUCUUUUUCCCUCCAAGAUCUCCAUUGUAUCUUCUUUAAGCUUUCAGAUGUAAUACUGUGAGUGCUUUUUUAGAAUUAUCAUUGAGGACUCUGGGAGGAUGUCAAAGGUUACACCCAGCUGUUUGGUGGCUUAGUCAGGGGGUUCUUUGAGAAGAUCAAACACCUGAGUUGAAGAAUCUUUGAGGCAGAAGAUAGAUGGGCCCCAGGCUGAGCAUCUGGAGUUUAUCCCCUGUGGACUGAUACUCCAAGAUGAAGGCAGGAGAAGCUGAACCCUUCUCAGGAAAUCAUUAUGAUUUAUAUAAUUUUAUAUACCAAGAUGUUAAUUAAGUAAAAAUGGUGGUUGAAAUUGAGCUUGGAAGAAAUGGAAGUAUUGAAAGAAAUAAAAUUGGCAGAUUCAACAGAGUGUCACGGAAAAUUUAAUUGGAAGCUAUGAUCAUGAACGCAUGACUUGGAUAACUGAAUUUUCCUCCAAAAUUGUAACUCUAGAAUGAAUACAAUGCAAUCAUUUUACAGAUUGGAAACUGAGGCCCAGAAAUCUUGUGAGUUUUCACACAAAAGUUGCAUUUUUAUCUUUCUUGGAAUAAUAAAGCAUAGUAUGUCAAAACUUAGGACCAGAGCGGUCCUAAGAUGGCGGAGGAAUAGGAUGGGGAGACCACUUUCUCCCUCAAAAAUUCAUCAAAAGAACAUUUCAACGCUAAGUAAAUUCCACAAAACAACUUCUGAAUGCUGGCAGAGGACAUCAGGCACCCAGCAAAGCAGAUCAUUGGCUUCAAAAAC
rnacentral:lncRNA from 1 species